rnacentral:rRNA from 1 species
UACAGAGGGGGCAAGCGUUGUCCGGAAUUAUUGGGCGUAAAGAGCUCGUAGGCGGUCUGUUGCGUCCGCUGUGAAAACCCGGGGCUUAACCCUGGGCUGGCAGUGGAUACGGACAGACUAGAGGUAGGUAGGGGAGAAUGGAAUUCCCGGUGUAGCGGUGAAAUGCGCAGAUAUCGGGAGGAACACCGGUGGCGAAGGCGGUUCUCUGGGCCUUACCUGACGCUGAGGAGCGAAAGCGUGGGGAGCGAACAGG